GUUCUGCCAGAAGCCGAUAGUGGCGGUCUGACCUUCGGCAAGGGCGUUGGCCUGUUCGCCGAAGUUGUAGUUUUCAGCAUCAACGCCUGCGUCAAGGUAAAUGUUGGAGAAUUCAUUGUCGACGAUGACUGGUAAUGGGU
rnacentral:rRNA from 1 species